AUGUGCUUAAGGAAAUCGCUUUUUAAAUAAGUAAGAGUUGACUCGCGAUGAAAAACUCUGCCCUGGAAAGGUUGGCCUGAUGCUCCAUUUGCACCCAUUCCUCCCCCAGAUUUCCUUACCUUCUCACACCUCCUCUUCGGUGUUGGUCCACCAGUGAGGGAUGACAGAUUAGCCAUGACCCAUCCCCAUUUAAUCCGGCACUGAGAUGAUGGGCAUGAGAACCAACCCUCCGCCAUCUAAAAAGCCCACUUGUAUCGCAUCAGACCUGAGUUCCCCAGUCUCAGCACCACUGAUAAUUGGGGCUAGAAAUUCUCUAUUGUGGGAAGCUGUGCACUGAAGGAUGCCUAGCAGCAUUCCUGGCCAGUAACCCACCAGUCGUGACAACCAAAGAUGUCUCUAGAUAGACAUGGCCAAAUGUUUUCUGGUUGAAUAACAUCUGCCCCAGUGAGAACCACUGCAUCAGACCAAUCAGCAGCCGGUGCUGUCAUCCGCUGUCCUUUCCUAUGGGAGUAGAAGAGGGAGCAGACUCGGGCAUCUCUCUGUGGAUGCACACGUCUUAGGAGGGGAGAAAGGGUCGACUCAAACACCAUUCCCUCUCCAACCACUUCUGGCAGUCAUCCGCAGUCCCUCAGCCUUGCCCAGGCCACAUUUCCAACAUGGUGAUAGACACGACUAACUUUCUAUAUUCAGGAGGGUUCUAGUCUCAAUAAACUGCUAGUGAGCAUCACUAAGACAACAACACCCACCCCUAUUUUCUAAAGUUCCAUUCAUAUUUAUCAUCUGGUACAUGAUCAUUCAAGGUUCUGUGCUAAAUGGAAGUUUUUCUGUCCAGAAAUCAUUGUUCCUUGUAGGAACAAUGGGCUCCAUCCUAAAUCAUUUCUAAGGUUCCUUUCCCAGAAAGCUAUUUAUGUACAGAAACAACUGGUGUCAGGAUGGGAGGAGAACCAGCCACACCCUUGAGGAUUCCACCCGAGCUGGUUCUCCCACCUGUACUUCCCCCACAGGAUGCCCCAUCUGGGCAGGAUGCCCUUGUGCUUCUGGGUUCUUAGUUCUAUGACUGCCCCACAGCCCGUGUGUCCCAAUGCACAGCCCGAGCACCAAAGGCCAAAUAGUGAAACUGCUGUGGGGCAGUUCUGUCACAUCCACUAUUACCUAAUUUAGAGCAUGCAGAUGUUCUACACCACAGAGGACUAGAGUGGGAACAUAGGCCCAAUCAUACGUGCAGGUGCUUGCCUCCCUGGGACCUGGUCAGCUUGACCCUUACAGCUAUUCAUAACAUGCAGGAAUCCUCUCCACAUCACUGCUCUCCCCCUGGUUGAGGAGAUCUGCUUCUUGUGCACACCCUCGCCUCUACCCACCCAUUCUCCCCAAAAUCAUGUCUCCCCAGGGCAGUGAUGAACCUGGGACAAAUCAUAAACUGUUUCUCAGAAUGAUUUGCACCCAUUUGCAAAGCUUCAAGUCAAAAAUUCCGCUACCUGUAUCCUGUAAUGAUACACAUUACUCUAAAGUAUAAUUCUUCCUGGUCUCACAGGAUCAUUGUGUCACAAAACAAUGGCCGUUUCCACUAAUGCAUUUCACACUUUGUCAUGACCAUAUUUGUUUGCUUAUAUGAUCAUAAUCACCAUCGCUUACGAAGCACUUACCAUGGAGCUGGUGGUCUACAUACGUUGCUUUAUAUUAUUUGAUCCUUGCAACAAUACUGCAAGCCAGGUGUUUUCUCAUUUUUAUAGAUGAGGUGACAGAUUUAGGGAGAUGAAUGACAUGCCAAAACCCACACUUGCAUUGAAUGCAUCCUGAGCCCUGAAGGCCAAAAUAGUGACAUUUUCGUGGGGUAGUCCUGUCACAUCCACUAUCACCUAAUUCAGAGCAUGCAGAUGUCCUCACCCAGCAUGACAGUCUUGAGGCAUGUGUUGACUGGCAUGCAGCCCUGAAAAUGUCUUCUUAUAUCUGAUGAUUUAUUAAAAACCCUAAUACCUGUUCUGGUUUCGUUGUUGUCAUCUGACCCGUUAAUGCAGGUGAGGCACUGUGCCAACUGCUUUAUAGGCAUUACCUCAUUCACUCCUCAGAAAAUAAAACUUUUAACCCUCUGAACAAAGAACUGUUACGACAACCAAUGCACAGAGAAGUAAACUGAGACCUAGCGAGUUUAAGUAACUGAACUCAAAGUCACAGAGGAGAACAAGAUUCAUAGUUGGAGCUAACAAUAAACCUCCUUCCCUCUUGAGAGCAGAGCGGAGACACCGAGUUGUAAUUAGAAAAUAUGUAGUAGCAUCUAGUGUCCC
rnacentral:lncRNA from 1 species